CGGUUAGACUAAAAGAUCUAGUUAUAUUUUUAAGGUAAAAAGGUGGUUAAAUACUAUAUAUAAGCAGUUUUUUAAUUUACUAUACAAAAGUGAAAUUUGAAUAUAGGUAAAUAAAUCAAAAAUAACUACUAUAAUUGAGUCCACUAUAACUUUGAGGGAAACUGGGAUUUGAUACCCCAUUAUUCUUAGUUGUAAAUAGAUAUUAAAUUUACCAGAGCACUAUGAACACUAAAAGUUUAAAACUCAAAGAGCUUGGCGGUGUUUUAGACCACUUAGGGGAACCUGUCUCAUAAUCGAUAAUCCACGAUAUACCUAACCUUUUAUUGCAACUUCAGUUUGUACACCGUUGUCAUCAGGUAACUUUUUAGAAAAACUAAGUUAGCAACAAAAUUUAUAAUAAAUUUAAAUGUCAAAUCAAGGUGCAGCCAAUGAAAAGGAGAGGAUGGGUUACAAUUAAAAUUUAUAAAAUGAAUCGAACAAUGAAAUUUGAUCGUGAAGGAGGACUUAAAAGUAAGAUUAUAUAUAAAAAUAGUUUGAAUUAGGCUCUGAAAUGUGUACAAAUUGCCC
rnacentral:rRNA from 1 species